AGAGUUUGAUCAUGGCUCAGAACGAACGCUGGCGGCAGGCCUAACACAUGCAAGUCGAGCGCCCAGCAAUGGGAGCGGCGGACGGGUGAGUAACACGUGGGAAUUUUCCUCAAGGUACGGAACAACUCAGGGAAACUUGGGCUAAUACCGUAUGAUGCAGAGAUGCCAAAGAUUUAUCGCCUUGGGAUAAGCCCGCGUCAGAUUAGGUAGUUGGUGGGGUAAUGGCCUACCAAGCCUGUGAUCUGUAGCUGGUCUGAGAGGACGAUCAGCCACAUUGGGACUGAGACACGGCCCAAACUCCUACGGGAGGCAGCAGUGGGGAAUCUUGCGCAAUGGGCGAAAGCCUGACGCAGCCAUGCCGCGUGAAUGAUGAAGGUCUUAGGAUUGUAAAGUUCUUUCGCUCGUGACGAUGAUGACGGUAACGAGAGAAGAAGCCCCGGCUAACUUCGUGCCAGCAGCCGCGGUAAUACGAAGGGGGCUAGCGUUGUUCGGAAUUACUGGGCGUAAAGCGCGCGUAGGCGGCUUUGCAAGCCAGAGGUGAAAUGCCUGAGCUCAACUUAGGAAUUGCCUUUGGGACUGCGAGGCUUCGAGGACGGAAGAGGUGAGUGGAAUUCCCAGUGUAGAGGUGAAAUUCGUAGAUAUUGGGAAGAACACCGGUGGCGAAGGCGGCUCACUGGUCCGUUUCUGACGCUAAAGCGCGAAAGCGUGGGGAUCAAACAGGAUUAGAUACCCUGGUAGUCCACGCUGUAAACGAUGAGUGCUAGGCGUCGGCACGCUUGCGUGUCGGUGCCGCAGCUAAC
rnacentral:rRNA from 1 species